GCUGUCAUGGGCGCAGCCUGAUGCAGCCAUGCCGCGUGUAUGAAGAAGGCCUUCGGGUUGUAAAGUACUUUCAGCGGGGAGGAAGGGAGUAAAGUUAAUACCUUUGCUCAUUGACGUUACCCGCAGAAGAAGCACCGGCUAACUCCGUG
rnacentral:rRNA from 1 species